GACGAACGCUGGCGGCGUGCUUAACACAUGCAAGUCGAACGGAAAGGCCCUGCUUUUGUGGGGUGCUCGAGUGGCGAACGGGUGAGUAACACGUGAGUAACCUGCCCUUGACUUUGGGAUAACUUCAGGAAACUGGGGCUAAUACCGGAUAGGAGCUCCUGCUGCAUGGUGGGGGUUGGAAAGUUUCGGCGGUUGGGGAUGGACUCGCGGCUUAUCAGCUUGUUGGUGGGGUAGUGGCUUACCAAGGCGUUGACGGGUAGCCGGCCUGAGAGGGUGACCGGCCACAUGGGGACCGAGAUACGGCCCAGACUCCUACGGGAGGCAGCAGUGGGGAAUAUUGCACAAUGGGCGGAAGCCUGAUGCAGCAACGCCGCGUGCGGGAUGACGGCCUUCGGGUUGUAAACCGCUUUCGCCUGUGACGAAGCGUGAGUGACGGUAAUGGGUAAAGAAGCACCGGCUAACUACGUG
rnacentral:rRNA from 1 species